rnacentral:rRNA from 1 species
UACGUAGGGUGCGAGCGUUAAUCGGAAUUGACUGGGCGUAAAGCGUGCGCAGGCGGUGAUGUAAGACAGAUGUGAAAUCCCCGGGCUCAACCUGGGAACUGCAUUUGUGACUGCAUCGCUGGAGUGCGGCAGAGGGGGAUGGAAUUCCGCGUGUGAGCAGUGAAAUGCGUAGAGUAUGCGGAGGAACACCGAUGGCGAAGGCAAUCCCCUGGGCCUGCACUGACGCUCGAUGCACGGAAAGCGUGGGGAGCAAACAGG